CAAUAGCGUAUAUUUAAGUUGUUGCAGUUAAAAAGCUCGUAGUUGGAUUUCGGGUGGGACGCAGCGGUCUCGCAUUGCGUUUGUACUGCUGCAGCCCUCCUUCUUGUCGGGGGCGGCCUCUCGGACUUCACUGUCUGGGGGUCAGAAUCGGCGAUGUUACUUUGAGUAAAUUAGAGUGUUCAAAGCAAGCUUACGCUCUGAAUAUAAUAGCAUGGGAUAACACGACAGGACUCUGGCCUAUCGUGUUGGUCUAUAGGACCAGAGUAAUGAUUAAGAGGGACAGUCGGGGGCAUUCGUAUUCCGUUGUCAGAGGUGAAAUUCUUGGAUUUACGGAAGACGAACAUCUGCGAAAGCAUUUGCCAAGGAUGUUUUCAUUGA
rnacentral:rRNA from 1 species